UAUUGGGGCUCUUUUCGGGGUUUGUAAUUUGGCCGUGGGGAGGUAAUUGGCUGGAGCAGGGCGGCAGCGCGCGGCAGCCAAUCAGCGGGCGGCUUCUAUAGGGCCUGAGUUAUUAGACGCUGAUCUCAAAACAUCCUUCAUCAGACACCAAGGAGAGGCCACCAGAUGAGGGGAGCCAUUUUUCUGCAAUGGAAUUAAAUGGCCAAGUGGGUUUUUCCUUUGUUGCAAAUGGGGAACGUUUUUCCUUUGACUCCACCAUCCAGUUCAGGACGCCUCAGUGUGUUUAACACUUGUCAACAGGCUAAAGGACUCAAAAUUGGAAGAAUGAAGAAGACUUUUUUUAAAAAGAUCUGGAUUUUUCCUUAUGACUUGGAAUCCAUCUUUGUCUUGUAUAACUAGGUCAUAGCACACCAUUCAUGUCAGCAGUUAACAAUUUUGAAUUCCAAAAAACCUAAAGCAGUAAACAGUCCUCAACGAAGCCGCCUUUUGCCAACCCAACCCUGGAAAGUUUGCAGAAGUGGAAGGAGCAGAAAAUGCCAUGAGAGUGUAACUUACAAAAAGGCUCGGCUGGAAAGGGGGCAGCGGGCCUGGCGCCCCAGAGCGAACAGCCCUUGUUCGGACGGAAGAGCCGGCCUAGCGUGACAGUCCUCCCGCCAAGGAAUUCCUGGAUACACAAAGGAGAAUGACGCGGGUCCCGAACGCCUGGCAGGUAAGAGCAGACUCCCCGGGCGCGUGGCGUGCGCUCCUCCUCUGGCCUGCCCGGCCCAGCUGCUUCUGAGGAAGCCCUGAGCAGCUGGCCUGGCUCCUGGGUAUUUUUAGCUGCAAGUCCAGCCCGAUGCACCACCACUGGAGUCAGAUCCAAAUGAAACAUACUCGGGGCUGGGUGGGGCUGGGGCCCUGCCAGCCUCCCAGCCAGGCGGGGGUGGUGGGUGGGUGGCUGGUCUCAGGCCGAGUCAGCUGUUGUGCCUGGAAGCAGGCAGGGCCAGGAAGAUGCCUUUCCUCUUGCUCCUCUCCUCAGUUUUGUGUAAGUCAUUUGUUCUGUCCUAAUUUGAAAUCAUAGCCCCAUAUCUCAGGUGGGUACAGCGGACACUGACGUCUGAGGAUUUUCAGGAGGCUCACCUGGUUAACCUAGAUUCAGGUGACAGUUUGCUCAAGUGGGGUGAGCCUCCUGUGUGAAAUCUUUGCAGUCCCUCCUUGAUGUAGCCCUAGGGGAGAAGCCCAGGCUGGCUGAAAAUGUGAGUGGGCCUCCCGGCAAAGACCUCUUCCACCCUCCCUCGUCCUCUCCCUGAGUGAUGGUCAGGAGCCAUCGCUGGCCUGGCCUCCUGCUGUGUUCCCAAGGAACCUCACUCCCACAGGGCUCUCAACCUGGUUCCCGCCUCUUGCCAAUCUCAGGUCACCACCCAGGCUCAUCCCUGCCCCACCAGCCAAUCACAGUUCUCCCUGGUCACCAAAGAGAGCUCCAGGUCUGGCAGAGGCUGGGAGCCUUAGCCUAUUCAGGAGCCUUCUGUCACCCUCCCUGACCCUGGCAGGCUGGCCUUCUAUGAUGGGACCCUUUUACUAUGACAACAAUGCCUGGCUUCCCUUCACUCCCUAGCCACGGCAGAACCUGAUGGGGUAUUUACCCACCAUGCAUUUGCCCAGGGCAGGCCCUUCCUGCUUCCACUGACCUGCCAUGCAGCGCUCAGCCUUCCCUGAGCCCCUCACCCGCUCUGGCCCCUGAAUUGUGAGCAUCUCCCAAACCCCUUUAGACUGCUUCCUCGCCGGCAGGGACACAAUUGCUUUUCAAUAAACUGGUGUUGAAAAGGAACUGAUGAGUUGCUGUAAAUUUCUUUAGGGGGUUCUUGACCCACCUGAUGUCCCUGGAGGGCUGCACCACAGGUUAGGGCUUCCAGCUCGGACCCGGGCCUGGAGCGCGGCCUUGACGCCUCCUCCCGGCUGGGCGCU